UACGUAGGGACCAAGCGUUGUUCGGAUUUACUGGGCGUAAAGGGCGCGUAGGCGGCAUGACAAGUCACUUGUGAAAUCUCUGGGCUUAACCCAGAACGGCCAAGUGAUACUGUCGCGCUAGAGUGCGGAAGGGGCAAUCGGAAUUCUCGGUGUAGCGGUGAAAUGCGUAGAUAUCGAGAGGGAACACCUGAGGUGAAGACGGGGUUGCUGGGCCGACACUGACGCUGAGUGCGCGAAAGCCAGGGGAGCAAACGGG
rnacentral:rRNA from 1 species